GACGAACGCUGGCGGCAGGCUUAACACAUGCAAGUCGAACGCAUCCUUCGGGGUGAGUGGCAGACGGGUGAGUAACGCGUGGGAACGUGCCCUUCAGUUCGGGAUAACCCAAGGAAACUUGGGCUAAUACCGGAUACGUGCGAGAGCAGAAAGAUUUAUCGCUGAAGGAUCGGCCCGCGUCUGAUUAGCUAGUUGGAGGGGUAAUGGCCCACCAAGGCGACGAUCAGUAUAUGGUCUGAGAGGAUGAUCAGCCACAUUGGGACUGAGACACGUCCCAAACUCCUACGGGAGGCAGCAUUGGGGAAUAUUGGACAAUGGGCGCAAGCCUGAUCCAGCCAUGCCGCGUGAGUGAUGAAGGCCUUAGGGUUGUAAAGCUCUUUCGUCCGGGACGAUAAUGACGGUACCGGAAGAAGAAGCCCCGGCUAACUUCGUGCCAGCCGCUGCCGUAAGAC
rnacentral:rRNA from 1 species